rnacentral:lncRNA from 1 species
UCAAAGCCCAAGAAAGUGCAAAAACAAAAGAAAAAGAAAAAAUUGAUGAAUCGAGAAAAAGAAAGAAAAAUAAAAAUCGAAUACUCGAAGAUUCAAAAGAAAAAGCACGGAAAAGGGCAGUCGGUAAGAAAAUAAAGAAAUAAGAAAAGAAAACCGAGGAAAUAAAAGAAACCAACACAGGAUGUAACAUCGACUCUGAACCAAAAGCCCCUUGUUUUC